ensembl:lncRNA novel transcript, antisense to S100A1 and CHTOP
CCCCCACAUUUCUGGACCUUGAGCAUUCCUCAAGUAGGAAGAUGUAAUGCACCUUGACCUCUUUCUAAAUAAGACACUUCCCCAAAUAAGGGGAGUUGAGAGUGAACAGUCUUCACGUCUCCACCCACUUCCAGAUCCCAGAGGAGACAGACAUCGGAUGGCUGAAGAAAUUGUUACAGGCCACUGUGAGAGCAGCCACAAGCACCACAUACUCCUGGAAGUCCACCUCCCCGUCUCCAUUCUCGUCUAGCUCCUUCAUCACCUUGUCCACAGCAUCCACAUCCUUCUGGGCCUGUGGUGGGAGGAGAGGAAGAGGGAGGUGUAUAGGGAAGGGUACAGCACUGAGUCAGAGGCAAGGGGGUGGUUGAGGAGCAGGAGGCAAAGAUGAGCGAGAGGAACUGCAUUGAAUUAUGGGACUCUUCUAGGCCUCCUCAAAGGUCUUGAGGGCUUCUGUUGCCUACAGCAUAAGCUCUUUCACCUGGCAGAAUGAAUAAUAAUGACACCAGUUACCGUAUGUUCAGUGCCUAUAAUAAAGCAAGCACUACACUAGGA